UGCAGCUGAACCUGCCGGUGAAGGCCCCAAUUCCAGGACUGAGCCUCUGGGAGAUGGUGAGGGUGUGUCUGCGGGGAGGACUUCUCCAGCUCCAGGGCUGGAUGCUUGGCCCCAACCCAGCUCCCAUGGCAUGCUUCCUCUGACAGGGAAGAUGCAAGACACAAGAGACAAGAUAUCCCUGGAACCACCCAAACAGACGAAGCAAGAGCUGAAGGAAAUGCGGCAGGGAGGACAAGAGAUGGACAUAGUGCUUCAGUGGAAGGUGGCAUUUCUUGAAGGAAGCACUCCAUCUUCGGUGCCAGCCCCUGCUGCAGGAAGGAAGGCAAUGCCAGACACGGGCACAGCCACAGCAGACUGGGAGGCUGGGAAGGAUUCUCCAUUAGCCUGGCGCUCUGAAGUUGUGAAGCCCUCCGAGCAUUCUGCAGGGACGACCUCACCAACUCCUACCUUGGAUGGUGCACAAAAGCCCAGCUCCCAUGGCAGGGGUCCUACAACAGGAGAUGCCAAAGACAUGGCAGGCAGGAAAUUCCAGGACCCAUUAGAAAUCAUGUGGCAAAUGCUGAAGGAAUGUCUGCAGAGAAGACAAG